rnacentral:lncRNA from 1 species
UAGGAGAGGCUCAAAGAGUGAGAAAAAGACAAAUGCAAGAAUCUGGAUCCAAGAGUCCUGGCUAGCAGGUGAGAUAGGGAUGGUGAGCAUUAACACAAAGAAACAUUUUAAUAUGGAGGAUCAGUGCUGAGUCAUCACAUGGAGGACCUUGAAUCCACAGUGUACUUUGGGUGAUAAAGACAAAAUCAUUUAAAAAAAAUCACCAAUAUUUGGCAUUGUUUGUUAUGAGAGAAUAAAUUUGCUAUUUCUGACGGAAAACACAUUUUUCUACAAUCAAUACAUGGGAUGUGGACUGAUUCAAGGUUCCCUUGGUCACAGUGAUUGUUCUUGGCUGAAAUUGUUAAAAAACUUCACUUAGUAGCAAGUGAUCAGGCAAGCUGAAUUAUU